rnacentral:tRNA from 1 species
GGGGGUAUAGCUCAGUGGUAGAAUGCAUGCUUAGCAUGCACAAGGUCAUGAGUUCAAUCCCCAGUACCUCCA